AGAUGAGGCUGCAUAUCAGAGUCCUCCAGCCUCCACAGCUAAACCCCCAGACCCUCCCGGGCCCAGAGGGAAGGGCUCUGGAGCUGAGAGUCAUCUACUGAGCCUCCCAGGGACCCUCUCUAUUCAGAUGCCCAGACACUCUCCUGGGGAGAGAAGCCCAAAUUGCAAAAGUCACGAUGACUUCCGGUGCUAAAAUGGAACCCAGGAAAAAUAUCAAGCAAGAAACAUUCAUCUCAACUGAUAUUCUCAAUUUGCGAGGAGACGGACCUGGCAGGCAACUCCAGAAAGACAUCCCAUCUAGGGAGCAAAGAUGGAUAACACAACUGGCAAACACUUAGCUGUGGACAGAGUGUGUUUUGACACAGACAUUCACCUCCUUUGAUGCUCAGGACUAGGCUAUGAG
rnacentral:lncRNA from 1 species